rnacentral:lncRNA from 1 species
GUGUGCUCUAUCCACCUCACAGCCUAUUUGUUUUUAAAAACAUAUAUUUUUUUUCUGUAUUGGAAUCUAGCCAACACAGAAAGAAUUCUUUUUGUUGUCCAUGGUUGCUUUUGUGUAAUGAAAUGCAUACUUUUCCUACACAUUUCCAUAUGAUGGCUCAAGUCAGUUCUUGGAAUGAGCCCUCCCCUGAGCUUGGCUAACACCAUAUUCUUGAUUCACCACCGCUGGCUCUUUUCUGAGCUGUGCUUCCUCUGCGCCAGCAGUCAGUAAAUAUUUCCUGUAAUAGGCCAGUUACUCAGUGGCCGGAUAGCUGGUCUCUUUCUCAACUGCUCAACUCUGACCCUGUGCACAAAAGCAGCCACUGACAAUAUGCAGAAGCAAGUGAGCCGAGGUCGAGCUCUGAUGAAACGAUAGAUACAGGCACUGAAGCUUGAAUUUCAGUUCGUUUGCACUUGUCGCAAAUUUCAUUCUUUCUUUUUAUUAUUAUUAUUAUUAUUAUUGGAUUACAAUUUUUAAAUGUAAGUCUAUUCUGAGCUCGAGGGCCACAGGAAAACACAGGUGGGCGGGGGGGGGUUGAUCUGUGUGUCAUCAUGUGCUGGUCUCUAUAAGGAUACAAAUUUCCAUUUCCGAGUGGCUUCUCUUUUAAAUCUUUAUUGGAUUUGUUACAAUGUUGCUUCUGUUUUAUGUUUUUUGGGGGGGUUUGGCCAUGAGGCAUGUGGGAUCCUAGCUCCUUGAUCAGGGAUGGGACCAGCACCCCCUGCAUUGAAGGUGAAGUCUUCAGCACUGGACCUCCAAAGACAUCCCUCCAAGUGCUCUGUUAUCUAUGACUUCAUGGAGCAAGCAAACGAGGUGGUCAAAGCUCAUUCCUUUUCUAAGAAACGGGGUCAGCAAUUCUGAGCUUGGGGAUUGUGGUGGGGUCUGAGGAAAUACUCAGAAACCAUGCUGUGUGUGAAGGCUCUUUACACAGGGUGCCUGCUCCAGCACUAUGUCCUCUUUGCAGCCCCGUCUGGCAACCGAGCCUCCCAAGACAGACGCCUAGGCAUCUGGAUCGGUGUCCCGGUGGCCGUGGGUCUCCUGCUCCUAGUCUUCCUCGUCUUCUUCAUCCUCUACUGUCUGCGCAAAGCCAAAAACAAUGCUGAGAGGAAAGAGAGACACCCAGAGGCAGCUGGCUGGGUGAAUGGACAGGUGAGGGCUUCCUCCCCUAGACUGUCCCUUGGACGCCUCCUGUCACAACCCCAUCUCAUAUUCUCCCUUCCUUCCUCAGGCCUCUGAAGCUGCAGACCCGCAGGACGUCACCUAUUCCCAGGUGACCUGCCAUGUCCCCCACCAGGGGACAGCUGGGACCCCUUCCUGGGUGCCCAGACAGACCCAGAGCAGCGAGUAUGUGACGCUGGCCUUCAAAUAAGCCAGGCACCAGGGCCAGCACUUCAUCUGGGCAGCAGAACUCACAGUUACCUCUGGUAGCUCCCUCCUCUAGAACUGAGGCUCCAAACCUAACAGUCAGCCUGGUUGAGGGAGCCCACAUUCCUCAGAAGGUCCUGAUGCCCCCACACACACACACCCGGAAAUCUAGAGACCUCAGCAACAUCAGCCAGUCAGUCCCAGAAUCUCUAGUUGCCCAGGAGUUCCUGAGACCCUCUGAAGUCACCAGAAGAGUGACAGGGUAAUGUUUUGUAAGUCUUCAUUAUUCAUUAAUUAAAUGUUGUUGUUCAGUCU